UACGAGGGGGGCAAGCGUUGUUCGGAAUUAUUGGGCGUAAAGGGCGCGUAGGCGGUGCGGUAAGUCACCUGUGAAACCUCUAGGCUUAACCUAGAGCCUGCAGGCGAAACUGCCGUGCUUGAGGGUGGGAGAGGUGCGUGGAAUUCCGGGUGUAGUGGUGAAAUGCGUAGAGAUCCGGAGGAACACCAGAGGCGAAAGCGGCGUCCUGGGGUGAGGUUGACGCUCAGACACGAAAGCAUGGGGAGCGAACGGG
rnacentral:rRNA from 1 species